AGGUAUUUUCUAUUUGGGACCAUUAUGUGACUCAUUCUCUUGAUAACUAACAAUUCUUCCUCUAUAAUUAGAUCUAAGUAUAACUUAAGUACUAGUCUGGAUUUUAAAAGACCUAGAUCUAUGACUCGAUGUGCUGAGGGAGUAUUCUGGAUCCCCUAUUGUUGCCUCUUCCUUUCUAAAUAGAGAUUCAACCAGUGUCAUGAGGGGUUCAACAACUAAUUUUGAUUUUAGCUGAGUGUAAUGGUCACUAGGUGUGGAUACUUUAUUAUUAUUAUUAGCUUCGG
rnacentral:lncRNA from 1 species